AUGACCAGUGCUGGUGUGGUCUAUCCGCUAGUAAGAGAAAUGAUGAAUGCUGGUUCAUCAAGCAUGCCAGUGCACGUUUUACUGGAAAGAUUUACACAGUCAUUUGUGCAGAGGCGUCGCGCUAGAGAGGAGCAAGAGAAUAUUCAAGAGCUUGCGGCAGUUGAGGCUAGCAUAAAUUCGGCGAGUCAUUCAGCUAAUAUUGCUUUUGGCAUGGCGGAGACAGGGGCUUUCGCGGGAACAGAUCCUCAUGAGCAUAAAGAACCUGCACUGUUUGAUUUAAACGAGGCUAUUGAUGCAGAUGAGGAUGGUCCCAAUGCAGCAGGCACUUCGGUUGAUGAUGUUCUCGACAUGGAUACAACAGAGUCACAUGAGCAAAGGCAGCCACCACUCUUCGACUUGAAUGAGGUUAUGGAUAUACAUGAAGAUGAGCUUGCUGAGGGUGGAGACGUUGCUUCCGCAGUCCACCAGUCGCAGCAAGGCCCGAAUCCGGUGGAUGGAGCAGCUGUAGCCACGGACCAGGGAGAUUCGGUGCUGGAUGGUGUGGAACAGACUGAUGGUGUGGCUGCAGACCCAGAGCUUCAAAGUGCACUUGAACCUGAGCCCCCGAUAGCCGAGGAACAUGAUAUGGACCGAAUGUUUGGUAAUGGUGAUUAUCCAUCUGUUCGGGAAAUCAUGGAAGCUCCUGCGCCGGAGCCAGGUCUUGAGUUCGAUUCAAGGGACCAAGCAUUCUUCUUUUUCGCCUCAUAUGCCCGGCGUGUGGGUUUUGCGGUAAAAAGGGACACCACAUAUGAGUCGAGGGUUUCAAAGCAGAUAAACAAGCAGUCAUUCAGCUGUAACCGGAGUCGGGCAAAUGCGUGCAACGACUCUGCGCUGAGGAAGAGGAUGACUUCCAGAAUCAACAGGACAAUGUGUCCAGUUAAGAUAAUAGUGAAAGAAGAAUCUGGACGAUGGGUUAUAAAAUCCACAAACCUUGAGCACAAUCAUGAGCUGUCUCCCAGUGAGUGGCUGGUUAGGUUUAUGAAGUGCCACAAAAGGAUGUCUGAAUCUGACAAGGCAUUGAUUGACAUUCUUCAAGAAAGCAGAGUGCCCCCCAGGAAAGUGAUGACCAUAUUCAGGAGGAUGAUGGGGAGCUUCAGAGGAGUACCUUUUGAUGCUAAGUAUCUGAGCAACCGCAAUGCAAAGAAAAGACUUAAACACAAGAACAAAGACAUUGAGGGAGCUGCUGAAAAUUUUCAAGAGCGUUGA
rnacentral:rRNA from 1 species